rnacentral:lncRNA from 1 species
ACCCCAGACAAUAGGGCGAGCGGGAGCAUUCCUCACACCCAUGGCGGCCGGCGAAUGAGCUUUGUCUCCAGCCGCUGCCUCCCUCCGUUUCGGGGGACAGUGGCUGCCGUGUCCCCCCCCUUCUCCCUGCUCCUUUGUCCCCGCGCUGCCUGCCAGGGGUGAGACAGGCAGCUUUCAAGGAAUGAAGCUGAACUGCAGGGUAAAGGAGCAUUUAUUCCCAGUGAGCAAAGAGAGGAAGCCUGAAAUUAAGGAUUUUCUCCAGCGAUAGCACUCCCCAGGUGGUAAACCCCACAUCUGUUUCCAGUAAACCUACUGGGAGUACAAAGCAAACAAAUGAAGAAACGUCAAGUGUGUGGUCUUCGGCUUUUCUGAACUUUUGCUGCGCCGCAUUCAAGUACAGUUUAGUGCGGCUGGAAAGAGAAAAGCUGACAAAGAGCAGAUGAGACCAAGAGGGAGACGGAGCUGUUUUAUCCUUCUUUUUUUGCAACAGACCAAGUUGGUAUUCCCCACCUGCUUAAG